AUUGAACGCUGGCGGCAGGCCUAACACAUGCAAGUCGAGCGGAUGAAGGGAGCUUGCUCCUGGAUUCAGCGGCGGACGGGUGAGUAAUGCCUAGGAAUCUGCCUGGUAGUGGGGGAUAACGUCCGGAAACGGGCGCUAAUACCGCAUACGUCCUGAGGGAGAAAGUGGGGGAUCUUCGGACCUCACGCUAUCAGAUGAGCCUAGGUCGGAUUAGCUAGUUGGUGGGGUAAAGGCCUACCAAGGCGACGAUCCGUAACUGGUCUGAGAGGAUGAUCAGUCACACUGGAACUGAGACACGGUCCAGACUCCUACGGGAGGCAGCAGUGGGGAAUAUUGGACAAUGGGCGAAAGCCUGAUCCAGCCAUGCCGCGUGUGUGAAGAAGGUCUUCGGAUUGUAAAGCACUUUAAGUUGGGAGGAAGGGCAGUAAGUUAAUACCUUGCUGUUUUGACGUGACCAACAGAAGAAGCAGCGGCUAACUUCGU
rnacentral:rRNA from 1 species